UAUAUAAAACUAGCGGCCGCUAACGCCUUUCCCUCUUUACUCCCUGUCAUCCGCGGUGAGGCGGAAGAGUUAUAUACAGCUUUUCGGAUCAACUGAAAAACAGCAGCCUAUCCAUUCUCUGCAACCAUGGUCACCUACACAGAAUGCAGAUUUUCAGCAACCUUAAAGCAGCAGGAGGAGGACCUGGCUACAGAUUCCUCUUACAGGUGAUGGACCGAGCUGAUCCAGGUGCAACAGAACUGUAGAGUGUCGAGGCAUUAAUCUGCUCAUGACAUCCCAUUGCCACUGUCCAGUGGGGGUGCACGCACAUCUUCCACCUGACGGUCCAGCAGGAUGGGGGGGAUGAUGUGCUGGAGUCUGUUGGAGCAUGAGGAAAAGUUCUGAAGACUGAACCGGAACUAAAGGAGCUGAGUUUUAAUGAAUGUAACCUUAAACCAUGUUAAAUGCAGUGCAAUAAAAGGUGAACUC